rnacentral:lncRNA from 1 species
AAUAUGCUACAUGGAGAAAGAAAAUAUCACGAACAGUAGCUAGCUAACCUUGUUGCAUGUGUAUAACAACAACUGUUGAUGAAAAUAUGUUUGCUUACAAAAGCAUGCAUGUGACAUAAGUUGGCUAGUUGAAGACUUCUACGAACCAAAGCUCUAUAUAAAUAUAUCUUAUUUAUACUAUAUAAGAGAGAUCAUUUCCU